AUUGAACGCUGGCGGCAGGCCUAACACAUGCAAGUCGAACGAGUGGCGGACGGGUGAGUAAUGUCUGGGAACCGGCCCGAUGGAGGGGGAUAACUACUGGAAACGGUAGCUAAUACCGCAUACCAUCGGAUGUGCCUAGAUGGGAUUAGCUAGUAGGUGUGGUAACGGCUAACCUAGGCGAAGAUCCCUAGCUGGUCUGAGAGGAGGACCAGCCAACCUGGAACUGAGACACGGUCCAGACUCCUACGGGAGGCAGCGGUGGGGAAUAUUGCACAAUGGGCGAAAGCCUGAUGCGGCCAUGCCGCGUGUAUGAAGAGGGCCUUCGGGUUGUAAAGUACUUUCAGCGAGAAGGCGUUACUCGCAGAAGAAGCACCGGCUAACUCCGUGCCAGCAGCCGCGGUAAUAC
rnacentral:rRNA from 1 species